rnacentral:rRNA from 1 species
GCUCUAUACCCUUUGUGACAUACCUAUAACUGUUGCUUCGGCGGGUAGGGUCUCCGCGACCCUCCCGGCCUCCCGCCUCCGGGCGGGUCGGCGCCCGCCGGAGGAUAACCAAACUCUGAUUUAACGACGUUUCUUCUGAGUGGUACAAGCAAAUAAUCAAAACUUUUAACAACGGAUCUCUUGGUUCUGGCAUCGAUGAAGAACGCAGCGAAAUGCGAUAAGUAAUGUGAAUUGCAGAAUUCAGUGAAUCAUCGAAUCUUUGAACGCACAUUGCGCCCGCCAGCAUUCUGGCGGGCAUGCCUGUUCGAGCGUCAUUUCAACCCUCAAGCUCUGCUUGGUGUUGGGGCCCUACAGCUGAUGUAGGCCCUCAAAGGUAGUGGCGGACCCUCCCGGAGCCUCCUUUGCGUAGUAACUUUACGUCUCGCACUGGGAUCCGGAGGGACUCUUGCCGUAAAACCCCCCAAUUUUCCAAAGGUUGACCUCGGAUCAGGUAGGAAUACCCGCUGAACUUAAGCAUAUC